CCUACGGGUGGCUGCAGUGGGGAAUUUUGCGCAAUGGGGGAAACCCUGACGCAGCAACGCCGCGUGCGGGACGAAGGCCCUCGGGUCGUAAACCGCUUUCAGCAGGGAAGACCUUCCGACGGUACCUGCAGAAGCAGCUCCGGCUAACUACGUGCCAGCAGCCGCGGUAAUACGUAGGGGGCGAGCGUUAUCCGGAUUCAUUGGGCGUCAAGCGCGCGUAGGCGGCCGCCUAAGCGGAACCUCUACCCCCGGGGCUCAACCUCGGGCCGGGUUCCGGACUGGGCGGCUCGAGUGCGGUAGAGGAGAGCGGAAUGCCCGGUGUAGCGGUGGAAUGCGUAGAUAUCGGGAAGAACACCGAGGGCGAAGGCAGCUCGCUGGGCCGUCACUGACGCUGAGGCGCGAAAGCUGGGGGAGCGAACAGGAUUAGAUACCCUUGUAGUC
rnacentral:rRNA from 1 species